rnacentral:lncRNA from 1 species
GCUACCACAUCACUAAUUUUGGACUUUCUCCCUGGAGAAACUGUAGUGCUCUUAGACCGACACUCACCGCAAUCAAUGCUCCACCUGACAUGGUCCCCUCAGAGCUAUGCAGCUCCUCCUGCACACUUCGCUCCAUCUGGCUUGGUGCAGCCUUGGUGCUGGUGCUGGGAUGUCGAUCCUCCCAGACCCCUCCACUCUAAACAUGUGUCACAUCAGCCUCCACCUGUGAAGACACCUUUGCCCGAU